rnacentral:rRNA from 1 species
CCUACGGGAGGCAGCAGUGGGGAAUAUUGGUCAAUGGGGGCAACCCUGAUCCAGCGAUGCCGCGUGAGUGAAGAAGGCCUUCGGGUCGUAAAGCUCUUUAGGUUGGGAAGAAGUGUAUUAGGUUCAUAGCCUAGUAUGUUGACGGUACCGACAGAAUAAGCACCGGCAAACUCUGUGCCAGCAGCCGCGGUAAUACAGAGGGUGCAAGCGUUAAUCGGAGUUACUGGGCGUAAAGGGCGCGUAGGCGGUUAUAUGUGUGUGGUGUGAAAGCCCCGGGCUUAACCUGGGAAGUGCAUCGCAAACUGUAUAGCUAGAGUAUAUGAGAGGGUGGCGGAAUUUCCGGUGUAGCGGUGAAAUGCGUAGAGAUUGGAAGGAACGUCAAUGGCGAAGGCAGCCACCUGGCAUAAUACUGACGCUGAGGCGCGAAAGCGUGGGGAGCGAACAGGAUUAGAUACCCUGGUAGUCCACGCUGUAAACGAUGAGUACUAAAUGUUGGUAGGGGAACCUAUCAGUAUUGAAGUUAACACGAUAAGUACUCCGCCUGGGAAGUACGGCCGCAAGGUUGAAACUCAAAGGAAUUGACGG